ensembl:lincRNA
AUGUGGGAGAUGGCUCCGGAAUGCCGGCCCAAACUGGCGGCCCAGGAAGCGCAGGAGGCGCCCGGCGACUCCUUCCCCGCGGCGCGCCAAGCGGGCCGAACUCCGCGGCUGAGUCGCGCGGCUCCACUCACCGCGCGCGGGCUCGGGCUCCGGCCUCGGAGAGCGGUAAACGGAAUCGGUUUCCCACGGUCUCCCCCUUCAUCCCGGGGCCUUUCAAAAGCCGCUCACGAAUUCCGUCGUCCAGUUUACGCGGAUUCUGAGCCUCGCGUUCACCCCGCGCCACCUGGAAAGGGGACCCUCGCACGGUCCGCAUCCCCGGGCCGCCCGCCCGUGCACACGGGGAGCAACUUCGUUCCCCUGAGAGCCCUGGCCCCGCGGCGCGGGCAGAGCUCCGCCCGGCAAAGGUGGCACUGUGGUCGCUCCGGAACGCUACCCGCGUGGACGCGGCCGCCACCUUCUGCUCUCGCUUCUGGCUGCGCGCGGGCAGAGCCCUGGAAACAACGAAAACGGCGAGCAGAGUUGCUUUCCGGAUGUCGGAGUCCCGGAAGCCUCUGGGUGCCAGCCAGUCCUCCGCGUCCCCAGACGCCCCAGAGCCGAGCUCACCGCCUGGCCGCCGGUACCGGAACAGACUCCCCCAGUCGGCUUGCCGGCAAUCCACGCCUCGACGUGACCCCGAAGGAGCAGCUGCGGGGAGAUGCUUCUUCGAGCCUCAGUUUCCCCACCUGUGCAACGGGGCCAUAUGUUCCUGCGCCCUUCCCGGGGUUGAUGUGGGAUUGGCGGGGAGAGAGGACCUGGAAAACGCCCGACGGGGCUCAGUUCUGCCCACCUUUUGGGGCCAGGGGAGGGGCAUGGCCUGCUCAAAAUGUCCUGGCUGCUCACUGCUUCUGGACAAGACCAUUGGAGGGAAGCUCUCUUGAACAAGCAAGAAAACAGAAGAGUCCAGGACCGCCCCAGGCAGGCGAAAAAAUUACCCCUCGUGCUGCCUGACCCGAAGCUGAUGGAAUCGGUCGAGGAUUCCUGUCCCCUGGGGCAGAGCCGCCUGCUUCUGCCUCAGGCACCAAGAGCCCACAACCCUGGGGCUGCAGGGAGGGAGCAGGCACUCGCAGCUCUUGGCUCCGCUGCCCCUGCCAGGACUUCUCCACCUCCCAGGCAGUGGGGCUCCCUCCCCCUCUGCCCUCGAACAUCUGCAGGAGGUUCCCUGGUGAAGGAAGGACCAGUGGUGGCCAGAAUGGCAGGUCAGGGGACCUCACUGAGGACUGAGGGACUAGGGUAGCAGCCCCUCACUCACGGGAGUCCCCAACCCCCACCAUGGUAUCAGUGAAGUUAUUAUGAAUGUCCUGCCGGGUAGGGGGCAGCAGAGGGACUGCCUGAGCACUGCCCCUGCCACUCACACAUGACGCCCCCUGCUUCCCUUCCAGGACAAGCAGGCAGCUGUCGGGGAGGGGGGGGGGAGUAGGGGGGAGGUGUGGGGGGGGAGGGGAGCAGAUCAGAGGAGCUUAGCUUAGAGCCAGAGGCUUCCCCAUUCUACCUGGGGCUCUGGGGCAGCCCCCCGCCAGCUUCCUGGACAUCCCAGUUUCCCACAGUAUAAUAUGGAGGCGAAAAAAUGGGUGUUGGGCAUAGCUGCAGGCAAGUGUGCUGCCUGGCGCCUCCUGGGAGCUCAGGUGUUUUGGAGCUGGGACGGCUAGCAGCAGGGUUCCCUGCACCCUCUGACCCCUCCUCUCCCAGAACCAAAGCCUGUCCCUCGGGCUCUGACCUGGAUUCAUGGAGGGCUGUUCCUUGCUCCCUUGCGGGACACAGAGGGCCAGUUGGACCAGGAUGAAGGACAGGGCUCCUGGGAGCUGUGGGUUCCCUUCCCCCUGCAGCUCUUCAUGGGUUCCCAGAGUCAGGCCCACCCUGCCUUCAGCGCCUCUCACAGGCACCUUGUGCCUGCUGAGAGGCCAAGGCUCUCAGACCAUGUGCAGACUUUUUAUUUAUUCAUUCAAUCAGAAGCCGUGGUAAUGCUGGGGCUCCUGAACUUACAGUCACACGGUGAGAGCUGAAGUGAAGGCUGUUUGUUCCCGCACACUUGCAGCUUCCAGAGCAUCUUACUUUGCCCUCCCCCUGCUCCCCCAGAGUCCCAGUGCCUGGGACUGUGCUUGGAGCUCAGUGAACGAAAGAAUGAAUGAAUGAAGAGGUCUGAAUGAGUUGAAAGUGACCCUGGGAUCCCCGAAGCUGAUCUCAGCCCUAGAAAUGGGGGAGGGGAGGUCCAGGUGACCUUCCUGGCUGUGGCCCCGUGGCCACAGCCCUGUCCUGAGCGUCCUGUCCUCUGCCUUUCCCCACCCUGCAUCCAGCAGCCUGUGCCAAGUGACAGGGGUGCAGCAAUGAGCAAACCACCCAGAUGCCCUGAUGUGCAAUGCACGAUUUGAAAAAGGGAAGACCACCUGCUCAGGGGUGAGUGAGUGGGUGGGGUCAGCCUUGUGCUGGGGACAGUGGACACUGGCAGAAAGAGCAUCCUCAGGACACAUGUGGUCUGUCCCUCAGUUCCCUGGCCUGGAGUAUGGAGCCCCGGGGGUACUGGGGCUCCAGAGCCAGGCAGGGUGCUGGCUGCUGCCCCAGUCACUCCCACCCUUGGGCUCCACCCCAGUGCAUAUGGCCCUAAUCUCACACCGUGGGACCACAGUAAGGAGACACUGGUGCUCAGAGGAGCGAGAACUUUCCUGGGAGGCACAGUGGGAGUCACCUGGCUGACACAGAGCCCUGCUCCGGGCGACCCUCAAAGGAUGUCUGCAGUGGGGGGGUCUCCAUCUGGGACCUUUCCUGGUUUCAUGCCCUGCCAGAAUUGUGAGCUCCAAAGGGGGAUCCUGAUGAUGACUGAGAUGUUUAUUUGCCUGUGUCCAGAAAGACUUGGCCACCAGGCUUUGUAUUUCCUCAGAGUCUAGCUGUUGCUGGAGAGUCAGGACCCCUCUCAGUGUGGGCAUCCCAGGGCCAUUCUAGGGCACAGACCAGUGGCUUUGGGGGCCUGGUUUGGAGCCAACAUUUCAAGUAAGUCAGGCUUAGAAUCUGGGCUUCUGGGAAGAAAUUCCCAAUCAUGAAAUGUGUCAUUUGAAAAAAUAUAUGUGUCAGUUAAGUGUGCACUGAGCCUGGACCACAUGGGAUAGGGUUGUUCUAAUAAACACGAAUAAGCCAGUUUUCACAUUAGAGAAAUAACAGUUUCAAGUAGAAAUGUGGUGCUUUUAAAAGAGGUUAAUUAAUAAACAGCAGGUAAUUGUUCAUGGCACAUGGUGGCAGAGGGUAAUUUUCAUUUUAGAGGAGAGAAGGCCCAAAUGCCCCCCCAACUCAGAUUUUUUUGUGUAAUAAUCACCUUGGCUUCACCUCCGCCUUUAAUUUUUACAGCUGGAGCUGUUUAUCAUCGCUCCAACUUUCACUAAAAAGGAAAAACUAUCACUUAAACAAAGCCAUUGAAAACUCAGCAUCAUAUGUGGAUUUCUUAACAUAAAUAAAUCAUACAAACCAAGAUUUAUGUUCUCCCAAUGAUGUCAUUCGCUGAAGGCUGCCUUCCCAAUCAAAUCAGCGGUUAGUGACUCUCCUUUUGUGUGUGUGUGCUUUUUGCAAAAUAAGAAAAGCAGCGCUGGCAUCCUGGCUGCUCUCUUUCUCUGCUCCGCCCAGGACAUCAGAAAGGUCUCUCCCUGCAUCAGCACAACUGGUUCUAAACGGUGAGCACGGAUUCAAUGCCACAGAUGGCAUUUCAAGCCUUUGUUUUUGAAAUGCAGGUUCUAAGUUGAAAGACUGUUAAGGCUUCCUGAAGGAUUUGCUCAGACUCCAGCAGAAGCUGGGGGCUCUGGGGGUCUCUCAGAGCCUAGGAUGAGUUUCGCUGCAGGGUCAUCACGUUGAAAUGAGCGAGGACCGCGACAGGCACCCAUGAUGGGGAGAUGAGAUGUGGUCGCUCCGUACAGUGGAGAAGUGUCAGUCACAGCAAGGAACGAAGCCCUGAUAAUGGACCACAGUGUGCACGAAGUUGGUGAAUGAAGUCAGUCAGAGCAGGUCACGUACCAUUCCAUUCUACCUAUGUAGAAUGCCCCUACCAGGAUGGGCAAAUCCACAGAGACAGAAAAGAAACAAGUGGUUGCCAGGGUAGGGGAGAGGACGUGGCAGGUGACUGCUUCCUUGGCACAGGGUUUCCUCCUGGGAAGAUGAAAAUGUUCUGGAAACAGACGCCCACUUUGUUUAUUUACUAAAGUCUUCCUUGUCUUUUUGAUUUUAUUGGCUGCACCAGGUCUUAGCUGCAGCACAUAGGAUCUUCAUUGCAGUGUGCAGGAUAUUUACUUGCAGCAUGCAAAGUCUUCGUUGCAGCAUGCAGGAUCUAGGGGUCAAAUCCGGGUCCUCUGUGUUGGGAGAGCAGAGUCUUAGCUACUGGACCGCCAGGGAUAUCCCAGACAGCCCACUUAAAAAUGGAGACUGUUGUGCUUUGUUAAUUGUAUCUCAAUAAAUCUGUUAUUUAAAAAUCACUACUGAGAACAUAUGUUUAAAAAGCUUUAUGUUCAUUUUAAAGUUUUUUCCGUUUUGAAAUGAUCACACAGAUGGGUGAGUGUGUAAGACUGCAUGUGCACGCCUGGAGUAUAUGACAUGAGCACCGGCCCCAGCUCCUGGGUGAAGCAUGAGCUUGUGAUAAUUUUUCUUCAAAGUUCUCUGUAUAGCCCCUUCCCCUAACUGCAUCCCCUUCAACCAGACCAGAGGUACCCACCCCACAGGUAUUUGUGUUAACCACCUCCUUGACUUGUUU